rnacentral:rRNA from 1 species
UUUGAACGAGUGGCGGACGGGUGAGUAACACGUGGGUAACCUGCCCUUAAGUGGGGGAUAACAUUUGGAAACAGAUGCUAAUACCGCAUAAAUCCAAGAACCGCAUGGUUCUUGGCUGAAAGAUGGCGUAAGCUAUCGCUUUUGGAUGGACCCGCGGCGUAUUAGCUAGUUGGUGAGGUAACGGCUCACCAAGGCAAUGAUACGUAGCCGAACUGAGAGGUUGAUCGGCCACAUUGGGACUGAGACACGGCCCAAACUCCUACGGGAGGCAGCAGUAGGGAAUCUUCCACAAUGGACGCAAGUCUGAUGGAGCAACGCCGCGUGAGUGAAGAAGGCUUUCGGGUCGUAAAACUCUGUUGUUGGAGAAGAAUGGUCGGCAGAGUAACUGUUGUCGGCGUGACGGUAUCCAACCAGAAAGCCACGGCUAACUACGUGCCAGCAGCCGCGGUAAUACGUAGGUGGCAAGCGUUAUCCGGAUUUAUUGGGCGUAAAGCGAGCGCAGGCGGUUUUUUAAGUCUGAUGUGAAAGCCCUCGGCUUAACCGAGGAAGUGCAUCGGAAACUGGGAAACUUGAGUGCAGAAGAGGACAGUGGAACUCCAUGUGUAGCGGUGAAAUGCGUAGAUAUAUGGAAGAACACCAGUGGCGAAGGCGGCUGUCUGGUCUGUAACUGACGCUGAGGCUCGAAAGCAUGGGUAGCGAACAGGAUUAGAUACCCUGGUAGUCCAUGCCGUAAACGAUGAAUGCUAGGUGUUGGAGGGUUUCCGCCCUUCAGUGCCGCAGCUAACGCAUUAAGCAUUCCGCCUGGGGAGUACGACCGCAAGGUUGAAACUCAAAGGAAUUGACGGGGGCCCGCACAAGCGGUGGAGCAUGUGGUUUAAUUCGAAGCAACGCGAAGAACCUUACCAGGUCUUGACAUCUUUUGAUCACCUGAGAGAUCAGGUUUCCCCUUCGGGGGCAAAAUGACAGGUGGUGCAUGGUUGUCGUCAGCUCGUGUCGUGAGAUGUUGGGUUAAGUCCCGCAACGAGCGCAACCCUUAUGACUAGUUGCCAGCAUUUAGUUGGGCACUCUAGUAAGACUGCCGGUGACAAACCGGAGGAAGGUGGGGAUGACGUCAAAUCAUCAUGCCCCUUAUGACCUGGGCUACACACGUGCUACAAUGGAUGGUACAACGAGUUGCGAGACCGCGAGGUCAAGCUAAUCUCUUAAAGCCAUUCUCAGUUCGGACUGUAGGCUGCAACUCGCCUACACGAAGUCGGAAUCGCUAGUAAUCGCGGAUCAGCACGCCGCGGUGAAUACGUUCCCGGGCCUUGUACACACCGCCCGUCACACCAUGAGAGUUUGUAACACCCGAAGCCGGUGGCGUAACCCUUUUAGGGAGCGAGCCGUCUAAGGU